UAUAACAUACAUUGUAAUCGUCGCGAGGUAAAAGAGAAAAAGAGAAAGAAUACAUUUGACAUUUUUUAUUUUUGUCAACGACAAAAAAAAUUUUGGGCGAUUACCAUCUAAUAAAUACGAAAUAUCCACAACAUUCGCGGAAUUGUAGAAGAGGAAUUUGCAUGUCAGUAUAUGGGUUUUCAUAGCUUUCGCAAACGCGAACAACAAGAAAUGAAUUGUAAAUAGAACGUUGAUAUUGACAGAGUUAUAUUACUAAAUAAUGGAUGAAAUAGAGAGAGAGAGAGGAUUUUGAUGUUUACCUUAAAGGACGGUUGAGGAUUAAUCAAAUUGUUAUUUCUCCACGCUGGACGCACGAUGGAACAAACGAGCGACGCAAACAGAAAGGAAAUUAUGAAUUGUCCCAGGAUGAGUCAUCGUUUCGAAAGCCGAUACCGACGCCCAUUAGUUUCCGGCUUCUAUUCCAACUGACCGGCGAGAUAUCGCGUCCAUCGUUCUAAUAUUUACGUUUUAAUUCCGCAUCAGAAUUACAUCCAAUAUAUUGUCACGUCUAUCGAGUCUAUCACCUUUACUUUCCACAUUUUAAAUGAAAUCAGCCCAUACUAUGUAGAGUGUUAUGUAAAAAUAAAUAGAUUAUGGAUGCAUCACAAGUAGCGGUUUUGAAUAAAUUAUGUCUAAAAUAUAGAGGUUUAUAUGUUACUGAUCAUGUUAUGUAUAUUAUUCGCUUAUCUUUACUCUCUAAUAUUUUUCUAAUGUUAUGAAUUUAUUUUUUAGGAAAAAAGGAAAGAGGAACGUAAAAAAUGCAGCGUAUGUGACACGCUUAUUCCAACGAAAACCGUGAAUCAUAUUCAACCGACGCAUCAACGGAUCAUCAACAACUUCUUAAAUUACUUGUCAGAACUGCGGUGUAAACGAUAAGAAUGACACGUUAUCAUUUAAUAGGUUGAAACUUCCGCGAGAUAAGAAGGAUUUUGAGCAGGGAAUAGUGAAGCAAUGGACUGCUGAUCGAGGCAAAACAAAUAGAAGAGCUUUAAUAGCGACUUAAUGAUCUUCGAGAUAUCGAGACGAAAUAUCGAGCGUGAAUCAAUAAUUUUCUAAAUUUUAAUUUAACUGGUGAUGCGCUAUAUUAGAUAUUAUAACGAUUUACGACACGGUUUAGGUAGAUAACAGGUUAUAUAAUCAAAUAUUUUUGUUAUUUGAGUCAGACUAUUUGAGAUAUAUAGCUCGUUACGAAACACCUAGAAAGUUUGCAACCAAUGUAAUUAACAGCACGUUGUGCGGGCUAUAUAAUGGAGCUGGAUAAACGAAUCGUGCGCAACUGUUGCGCACGCUAAUUAUUAUUAUAUCAGAAACACUUAAACAGGUGUCUCCUAGAGGAAGGGGUCUCGCGGAGGAAAUAUUUCUCCAAAUAUCAAUGUCAUUCAGACAUCAUUAUAAGCUCGAUACAUAUCGACACAAAUUUGAAUAAUUUAAAGAAUUGAAUUUUAUGGAAAAAAAUUUAGUGGGCAACACUUUAA